CAAUGUCUAGUUUCUCAGUUCACUUCCUGUUGCUUGUGAGAUCAAGACAUAGCUCCUUCUCCAAUUUCAGCACCUUCUCUAGCACUGAGUGUGCCUGCUUGCCACAGUGUUGCACCAUGAUGAUAAUGGACUAAACCUCUAAAAAUAUUUCCACUUGGCUGACAGAUACCAUCCAAGCAUCAGCUGCUGACUACAACCUGCUCCAAACAACUGUGAGCCCUAGACAUGCUGAAGGCUGAUGUGGAUCAAUCCAACCAAUGUGAUUGCUCCCUGUCUCUUGAGCUGGAUCAGUGAACCAGAUGCUUCUGAUGAAUGCUCCAUUGCCUGAAUUCCUUCCUUGCAUUUGACUAGCAUUCCAGCCUUCCUGGAUCCUGACAACAACGUCCUAGUUUCAGCAGGAAGGAGUUACAGAAGAGACUACAUCAUCCCUUGUCCCCAAAUAGGCAGGAAUGUUAGAUCAAAAGAAUACUCCCUGGCAUAGGAGACAAAAUAGCUACCUACAGUGCCUAUUGGCAUGAUGGGAAAGGCACCUAUUAAAACCAAAUAGACCCAGAUCUUGCAACAGGUAAAUUUAUUAGCUGAAACACUUCUACAAUAUUAUAGGGCACUCAACCUGCUUCAAGAGAAAAUUGUUGUUUCUAUGUAAACCACUCAGGAAUUAUUAGAGAUAAUCUGGGUGUGUUUACCAAAAGCACUGCAAAAAAAGGGAACCUGAAAUGAAAUAAAUAAUUGGUCCCCAUUCUAAUUUCCAGGUUCCUUCUAGAUAGUAACUCUGAUGUCAGCCAUCACAGGGCCUUUGGAUCUUCUGUUUCUGCUAAUUGCUUUUGGCUAUUGCAUCACUGAUGCUUUACCUAUGUGAUAAUUCCUGUCUGGGUACCAUUAAGCUUAUGGUUAUUAGAUCCUAACAUAUACAGAUACCUAUCACAGGGUCUAUGAUUUGAUUCAGUAUAUAACUUGGGGGGUGAGGAGUGGUGGAUGGGAGAGCUUGAGUUAAAUUUUAAGUUUAAAUUACUAUGCCUAAGAGAUCCAUGAAACCAAAAUGCCCCUGAUCUACAGUCACCUUGCCCAAGAGCAGAUAGUUCCUGAAAUGCUAGAAGCUAUUAUUUAUGAGAAAUAGUAAGCCACAUGUACCCACUCCUCUAAAGACGUUGUUUGACCAUCCACAAUCAAUGUGCUUGAUCACAUGUGAGUGGGAGGUAGGUGGGUAGGAAAUGUAUCAGGAUGCCCUUGAUUGGAUAUAGGCAGGAAGUGUGCAGGCAAAAAUUAGGGCAGGAUAUAUGCCUCCACCUGAUUGGACCUGAUGAGAAAUGUAGUAAACUAUGGGUUUGGCCUUUUUAAGCCCCUGUAAAAUGUGAUCUAGGGGCAUUUCCUAAGAACUGGGUAUGGGCAUGGGCAGAGUGUAUCCUCCUGGGCAGUAUAAAAUUAAAGCUUGCUUCAAGUCUGCCUUGAAAACUGUGAUGAUGGCCUUAUACUCAACCAAUGGGGUUAACACAGUGAGGCUCUAUAUGGGAAGAGCAGAAGCCCAUAAGGGAGGUCAUCCUUAGGAGCAGCACAGGUCCAUCAGUGAGGUCCUCCAUAGAAGUAUAAGAGGCCCAUAAGUGUGGCCUUCCUUGGGAAUAGCACAGGCCCCUAUGUGAGAUGUCAUAAGGAACAGCAGAAGCCAAUACAUGUGGCCUCCUUAGGAACAUCACAGUCCAAUAACUGAGGCCUCCAUAGGAACAAGAGAGGCCCAUCAGUGAGGCCCACAUUGCAACAGCAAAUUACCAUAAGUGAGUCCUCCAUAGACACACACAGGCACAUUCCUGAGGCAUCCAUAGGAACAGCAGAGUCCCAUAAUGAGGCCUCCACAGAAACAGCAUGGGCCUAUAAAUAAGGCUCUUCUUGUGAACAGCAGGAGACCAUAAUUGAGGCCCUCCAUGGGAACAGCAGAUGAUCAUAGGUGAGCCCCCACAGCAGCAGCAGAGGCCCAUAAUGGAGUCCCUCCUUGGGACCAGCAGAGAUUUGUAAUGAGACCCUCAAUUACAGCAGCAGAUGUCUGUAAGUAAGGAUCUCCUUGAGAACAGUAGAGGCCCAACAAGGAGGCCCUCCAUGGUAGAAGCAGCCUAAGAAACAAGUUAGUGCUUCUGGUAAGAGUAUUUGCAUUGCUGGCUUCCAAGUCCAUGGCAGACAUACUGAGAGGAGACCUUCCUUCUCCAAGCCCACUCAGGGAACAUGCUACCUUUCUCUCUCACCUAGUCAGUCUGUUUCCAGGUUGUGUGUCUAACAAGACUCCUUCCAGACUCAAUGCUUUCCUUCGACCCAUGAAGUCAAUCAUCUGGAUUCUUAAUUUCAUUAUAUAAAAGCAAUACAAUUCAGUUCCUUUUUAAAUAGAAAAUAUAACUGAACAAAAACUUUAAAAUAACUAUCCCUUUACCUAUGGUGAACCAAUUAUUUAUCACAUUGGUAGGUGAUAUUUAUAAUACAUAUAGAUAUAAAACACUUAUAGAUACACACACUUGUCUGGGCUUUGAAAGUAAGCCCUCCUGAACCUUACAACCCGGUUCUAAUAAUCUCUUUUCAUUGUGACCCUAUCUCAAUAAAUGACUAUUUACAGCAUUAUAAUAGCUAAUUGGUACUCCUUUAAAACUCCUUUCUAAACUCCUUAACAAGAAAUAUUAUAAUUACAAAAGAUUAUAAAAUAACUCUUUUAAUGUAAAACUUCUUAGGUAAGCCCUACUCUACUGGCAAAGAGGAUAAAUAACAGAAAAUGAAAAGUCACUAUUACCUUCUUUUGCCCUGUAUUCCAGGCUGAUGCAGCUGCCUAAGAAACGAUGAUAGGCCCUCAUCUCUGCCUCUGUUAUCCGCACCAUGGUGUAAUGUAUAAUUAACCUCUUCAGACUGAAGCUUCCCUUCUGGUGCCCUCUGUGCACCUGGUUUGGUAGACAGAAAUGGUUUAAACUGGUUUUUAUCAUGAACUUUCUUCAGGAUUUGGAGAUAAAAUAGAGGAAUUGGACUACAAAGAGAACACCUAGAAUACUACCUAUUACUAUCUCCUCCACCUUUCCAGAAGGAAUGGAAUCCAUCCUGAAAAUCAAGACACGGUAGCAGGAGCAUGGGACUGGUCUGCCACAGGACAUUACUAGGAAGGGGGUCAGCACACAAAACCUCAAAGCCACCCUCAGUGAUGUACUUUUCUCACCAAGAUGCCACCUCCUAAAUCUUCCACAACCUUUUUAAAGCCAAGGCUCAUGUGUACAUGCGAGUUUUUAACCAAAAAAAAAGUUUAAAACUAAAAUUUUAAAACAGAAAUAAAUGCUUAUAGAAUUAGUAUAUUAAGAAAGUAUUUUAUAUAACACUAUGUGUUUGUAUUUUUAAGCUAAGUAUUA